rnacentral:rRNA from 1 species
GACGAACGCUGGCGGCGUGCCUAAUACAUGCAAGUUGAGCGAUGAAGCUUGGUGCUUGCACCAAUUUGAAGAGCAGCGAACGGGUGAGUAACGCGUGGGGAAUCUGCCUUUGAGCGGGGGACAACAUUUGGAAACGAAUGCUAAUACCGCAUAACAACUUUAAACAUAAGUUUUAAGUUUGAAAGAUGCAAUUGCAUCACUCAAAGAUGAUCCCGCGUUGUAUUAGCUAGUUGGUGAGGUAAAGGCUCACCAAGGCGAUGAUACAUAGCCGACCUGAGAGGGGGAUCGGCCAAAAUGGGAACGGGAACAGGCCCAAACUCCUACGGGAGGGAGCAGGAGGGAAUCUUCGGGAAUGGACGGAAGUCUGACCGAGCAACGCCGCGUGAGUGAAGAAGGGUUUCGGAUCGUAAAACUCUGUUGGUAGGGAAGAAAGUUGGUGAGAGUGGAAAGCUCAUCAAGUGACGGUAACUACUCAGAAAGGGACGGCUAACUACGUG